CUUUGACAUGGAGCUUGUUCUUGUAUCCCAACCAUGAAAAAUUUUGAUCUUCAAAGAGACAGCUUUCUUCGAUAUUAGAGUUUCAGAAGAUAGACAAUUCUGACCGUAUUUGUAGAUUCAAGAAUCUAUGAAGCAAAACGGUAAUAACGAAAGUAUCAAAAUCAUUAAUAAACAAACUAAAACUAAAUUGAUAUCUAGAAAUACCCAAACAGUCAAAG
rnacentral:lncRNA from 1 species